UGCGGAAGGAUCAUUACCGAGUGCCGGGGCUCCGGCCCCUGCUCCCACCCUUUGUGAACCUGUUUCUGUUGCUUUGGCGGGCCGGUGGCCUGGCCGCCGCCGGCCGCGAGGCUGGAGAGCGCCCGCCAGAGGGAUUUUCAACUCUUGUUUCCAACAUGGAGCUCUGAGCCUAAAACAAAUUGAAUCAAAACUUUCAACAACGGAUCUCUUGGUUCUGGCAUCGAUGAAGAACGCAGCGAAAUGCGAUAAGUAAUGUGAAUUGCAGAAUUCAGUGAAUCAUCGAAUCUUUGAACGCACAUUGCGCCCUUUGGUAUUCCGAGGGGCAUGCCUGUUCGAGCGUCAUUUCAACCAUCAAGCCUCGCUUGGUAUUGGACGCGGUCGCCGCGACCCGUCCGCAACUCGUUGGCGGUACCGUCUGGACCCAAGCGUAGCAAGAAUUUCAUUCGCUUCGGGCCUCCUGGCGGCGCCUGCCGGCAAAGAACCCCCCUCUGAAGUUUGACCUCGGAUCAGGUAGGGAUACCCGCUGAACUUAAGCAUAUCAAUAAGCGGAGG
rnacentral:rRNA from 1 species